rnacentral:ncRNA from 1 species
ACCCCUGUGAGAAUGUCCUUAUUGUCCUUUAAGGAACUAAGGAGCAGGUAUCAGGCACGACCCCCUCAGCCCAAUACACCUUGUUCAACCACACCCCCACGGGUAGUCAGCAGUGAUAAACUUUAAGCCAUAAGUGAAAACUUGACUUAGUUAAGACUAAAAGGGUCGGUAAACUUCGUGCCAGCCACCGCGGUUAUACGGAGGACCCAAGUUGAUAAUUACGGCGUAAAGCGUAGUUAAGACAUCCCCUAAAAUAGGGUCGAAUGACCUCAAGACAGUAAAAUGUGUACGAGACCACUAAGCACACCUAUGAAAAUGACCCUAACUUAUCUGACCCUACGAAAGCUAUAAUACAAACUGGGAUUUGAUACCCCACUAUGUUUAGCCGUUAAAAUUAAUGGUACUUCACUCGAACCAUUCGCCUGGAGAUUACGAGCUCAAGCUUAAAACCCAAAGGACCUGGCGAUGCUUUAGAUCCCCCUAGAGGAGCCUGUUCUGUAACUGACAAUCCCCGGUAAACCUCACCACCCCUUGCCAGACUCCGUUUAUAUACCACCGUCGCAAGCUCACCCUUUUGAAGGAAUAAAAGUGAGCUUAAACAGUACUACUGCUAACGUCAGGUCGAGGUGUAGCGUAUGGGGUGGGAAGAAAUGGGCUACAUUCUCUAAAGAAGAGAAUACGAAUGGCAAUUUGAAAAAAUUGCACUGAAGGAGGAUUUAGAAGUAAGAAAGGAAUAGAGUGCCCUACUGAACAAUGGCCCUAAAGCACGUACAAACCGCCCGUCACUCUCCCCACAAUAUCUUUACACAAUCCCUAAUAAGAAUAACCUUUGUAAGGUGAGACAAGUCGUAACAUGGUAAGUGCACCGGAAGGUACACUUGGACAACCAGAGCAUAGCGAAAAAGUAAAGCAACUCCCUUACACUGAGUAGAUGUCCUUGCAACUAGGACUGCCCUGAUACC